CAGAGCAUAGCUAAAAUAGUAUAGCAUUUCCCUUACACUGAAAAAUCACCCGUGCAAAUCGAGUUGCCCUGA
rnacentral:tRNA from 1 species